rnacentral:lncRNA from 1 species
AACUCAUGAUGCUAAGAUUUUUUCUUAGUGGAUUAGUAUCUCUAACAAUCCAUCUUUCUAAUACAGAUAGCUCUCAUGCAUUUUGAAUGUACUGAUGUAUUAUAAUUAUAUUUUGAUAAAUCUAUAAAAAUUUAUUUUUUAAAAAAAUUACGUAUGUUUAAUGAUGCUUACAUUUAUAUAUAUCUAUUUGAUUGAAAUUAUGCAUUGUUUAUAAAAUUAAGAGGGAGUAAAACACUCUAAAAUGAAUAUGCACAAUUUGAAAGAGAAAGGAGGAGAAUCAAGAGGAAAUAAAUUUUUUAGCAUUUAUUAUGAAAAAUAAGUGAAGAAAAUAUUAUUGAAAUAUUAAAAAAAUUAUUUUGAAAACUCAAUAAAAAUAAAAUUAUUGAUGAUCAUUUAUACUUUGCUUAUUCUGAUCUAUUUGCUCUAUUGACUUAUUUUUAAAAAUUACUAUUCACCUCUAAAAAAAAAUUUAUUGAUGAAUAUCUGUAUUCUUGAUACUUUUUUUAGAUUGAUUUUUUUGAUAAUUAAUUGGUAUCAAGCUUAAUUUGAAAAAUACUUGCAUAAACAAACUUGAAAAAUGGCUUUGUUUACAAAAGUAUGGGGGAGAAAAUAUUAAAAAAUUAAAAAAUCUAAAUUUGAAAAUAGUUUUGAAUUGGAAAAUCUCAAUUUAAAAGUUAGAAAAUCUAAUUUUAAAUAUUAAAAUGUGCCUAAUUUGAAAAAAAA